rnacentral:rRNA from 1 species
CGGACGGGUGAGUAAUGUCUGGGAAACUGCCCGAUGGAGGGGGAUAACUACUGGAAACGGUAGCUAAUACCGCAUAACGUCGCAAGACCAAGAGGGGGACCUUCGGGCCUCUUGCCAUCGGAUGUGCCCAGAUGGGAUUAGCUAGUAGGUGGGGUAACGGCUCACCUAGGCGACGAUCCCUAGCUGGUCUGAGAGGAUGACCAGCCACACUGAAACUGAGACACGGUCCAG